rnacentral:rRNA from 1 species
GGUAAUGUCUGGGAAACUGCCUGAUGGAGGGGGGUAACUACUGGAAACGGUAGCUAAUACCGCAUAACGUCGCAAGACCAAAGAGGGGGACCUUCGGGCCUCUUGCCAUCGGAUGUGCCCAGAUGGGAUUAGCUAGUAGGUGGGGUAACGGCUCACCUAGGCGACGAUCCCUAGCUGGUCUGAGAGGAUGACCAGCCACACUGGAACUGAGACACGGUCCAG